AAUUCAAACAAGAAAGAUUUUUCGUUUUGGCGAUUCAAUAAAACUGGAGCUGAAAUCAAAAUUCUUUCUAGGGAUAUAAAGAGUUUGUUGGAUUCAUCUCUUGAAAAAUUCUUUAAAAGCAAAUCAGGGAACUAGACGAAGAUUUUAGCGGAAGUAGCUCAAAAAGCAAAAGCAUCCAUGAAAAUUGCUAUGGUAGAUGAAUCACGAAAAGCUGAAAAAGCUCUGAUCGCUAGUAAAUAGUAAUAAUAGAUUGAGUCUAGUUGAUCAGAAGAAACUUGCACAAGUUAUCAAGGUGGUGGUCGAAAUGGAGGAUGAACUCGAGGAGAAGGUUCAAAAAGUCGAGAAGAUAAACAGAAAGGUAGAUGAGAAGAUGAAGAAGAAGGCAAAGAAGAGACAUUUUUCGUUUUUGGUUUGUUGAAUGUUGAUUCGUCUUCAGCUAUCAUAUCAUGUCG
rnacentral:sRNA from 1 species